rnacentral:piRNA from 1 species
UGGCUAUAGUUGUAACAGGGAUGAUA